rnacentral:tRNA from 1 species
UUAAAAGUAGAAAAUUUAUUUCAUUAUUUUGCAAAUAAUUAUUGUUUUCAAA